rnacentral:lncRNA from 1 species
UGUAAUUACACAGCUUUCCACAUCAGUAGCUCAGUCAAGUGUGACUUAUUGAAUUAAGAUAUUCCUUCUCAAGAGAAGGAAUAACAAGAGCAAAUUAUGGCAUCAAUUUUCAAGCUUUCUUGAAGUUAUUCGAUGUUUUUUUUCUAACCACAGACAGGAAUAAACAUACCCACACACUCAAGGUCGCACGCACAUAAGCAAAUACUGCAACAAAUCUGUAAACUGGACAAAAUCUGAUAAACCACAUUAAGAUAACUCAUGAAUUUCUUACCUCUUUUUUGCAGUUCAGCUAAGCGACACUACAGAAUGCUACGACUGUUCCGGAUGUAAAAUACAAAUUUCAGGGAGUACAGACUGUCCGAAGUUUUGUAAAAAGCCGGGAUCUUCUCCUGAUGAUGAGUUCGUCAAGCGGUGCUCGCAGAAGUUUUUCUGUGCGACUGAUGCCUGUUACUGUUCUGAUAAAGCAUGUAGUGGAGCCCAGUUGGUGAAGAUACCUGUGUUUGUUUUACUGUCAUACAUGUGUGUCCCUUUUUCAUUGAAAUAUAUUUUGUAACUGCCAGCUGUCAUUGUGCUAAGAAUAACAUUUCAUUUCAUAAACAUAACAUUUUUGAGCUUAAUAACCGACUCAUCUGUUAACUUUGGUCUUAGGACCUUUGCCAGGAAAAAAUACUUAUGAAAACUGAAACAAGUACUCCUGCAUGUUUUGCUAAAUGAACAAAGUCUCUCCAAAAUAUACAUGAUCAUACAGUGCUGUCUUUCUCUUACAUCAGUUUUUGUUAAUGUCUAUAUGAAUGUCUAUGAAAAUAUCAUGUAUGCUUAUCUCAUAACAAAAAAAGUUUACUUUUGCAUAAAUUUGUUCAUGCUUAUUAUUGCAAAAUUCAUGUAGAUAGUAAACUAUGCUUGAUAUCAAUCUCAUUAACAUGGCACAAAUUACAUUUAUAGAUUUUUUAACUGGCAAACUAACUGCGCAUGUGACAUUGUGUUACUGUAAGACAGAUUUUUUAACCUGUAAACUAUCUGUGCAUGUGACACUGUAUUAAUGUAGGACCGAUUUUAUUUAUGUGUAAACUAAUUGCAUCUGACAGUGUUACUGUAGGACAGGUUUUUCUUAACCUGUAAACUAUCUGUGCAUGUGACAUUGUGUUACUGUAAGACAGACUUUUUAACCUGUAAACUAACUGUGCAUGUGACACUGUAUUAAUGUAGGACCGAUUUUAUUUAUGUGUAAACUAAUUGCAUCUGACAGUGUUACUGUAGGACAGGUUUUUCUUAACCUGUAAACUAUCUGUGCAUGUGACAUUGUGUUACUGUAAGACAGACUUUUUAACCUGUAAACUAACUGUGCAUGUGACACUGUAUUAAUGUAGGACCGAUUUUAUUUAUGUGUAAACUAAUUGCAUCUGACAGUGUUACUGUAGGACAGGUUUUUCUUAACCUGUAAACUAUCUGUGCAUGUGACAUUGUGUUACUGUAAGACAGACUUUUUAACCUGUAAACUAACUGUGCAUGUGACACUGUAUUAAUGUAGGACCGAUUUUAUUUAUGUGUAAACUAAUUGCAUCUGACAGUGUUACUGUAGGACUGGUUUUUCUUAACCUGUAAACUAACUGUGCAUGUGACAUUGUGUUACUGUAAGACAGAUUUUUUAACCUAUAAACUAACUGUGCAUGUGACAUUGUGUUACUGUAAGACAGAUUUUUUAACCUGUAAACUAACUGUGCAUGUGACAUUGUGUUACUGUAAGACAGAUUUUUUAACCUGUAAACUAACUGUGCAUGUGACAUUGUGUUACUGUUAGACAGAUUUUUUAACCUGUACACUAACUGUGCAUGUGACAUUGUGUUACUGUACCAUGCACCAUAGCUUUUAAUCACAUAUUUUUAAUUACACAUAUUGAAUAUCUAUAAAGUAGAAUUUCACAUAAUCAAUCGUUGACAAUUAUUUACAACUGUAUGACCAAGUUUUGCCUGUCAGGAACUCAUACACAUUCAAGACUGUAAAAAUUUGAAUCUUUAAAGAAUUAACCAUUAGACAUAAUUAAAUAAAGUAUUGGUGGAAAACAUCAUUUUGAGUCCAAACUUCAGUCUAACAUCCACUCACAUCCAUCAGAGGUUUGACAUACUGUAGUGCAGAGAUAAACCUGACCUCUUACCAGUAUGCAAGAAUGAGGAAUACUCUUUAUUUAAUGGAAACCGACUGGUAAUUAAUGUUUGGACUGAAAAACAAAGUGCUCUGCAAUAAUUUUAUUACCAAAAAUUAAUAUACAACAUUUACAGAAAUUCACAAUAUUGUUUGAUGUUGUGUACGCUAAUCAAUCAAUAACACAAUAUGACAUAAACAAACAAUAUGCACAAGUUAACAGCUGUAUGUAUCCAACUACAGGACAUAUCUGUAUUCCUU